UACGUAGGUGGCAAGCGUUGUCCGGAUUUACUGGGUGUAAAGGGCGUGCAGCCGGAGAGACAAGUCAGAUGUGAAAUCCACGGGCUCAACCCGUGAACUGCAUUUGAAACUGUUUCCCUUGAGUGUCGGAGAGGUAAUCGGAAUUCCUUGUGUAGCGGUGAAACGCGUAGAUAUAAGGAAGAACACCAGUGGCGAAGGCGGAUUACUGGACGAUAACUGACGGUGAGGCGCGAAAGCGUGGGGAGCAAACAGG
rnacentral:rRNA from 1 species